ACUUCCGCCUCCAGCCUCCGGGCCGAAGCUUUGGCCUAUGGUGCGGGGAGGUAGUAGUUUCUUCCGCGAGGGUGCGGGAGGGCCCCGGGGCGCCCUUGGGAACCGGGCUGGAGGCAGAGACAGGCCCGGAGGACCAGGCGGACGUAAGGAUCAGGCCUCUGGACGCAACUGCGGAGCCGGAACAGACCAGGAGGGCGCGGUUGGGCGGGUACAGCCAGGAAGUGCUCGUCGCGAGCGCGGCCCGCGGUUCGGUCACAGCGAGAAGCCCGCGGGUGCUGGGAGUGCUCGGUCUUCUCUCGAUCUCUGCAGGGAGUCACUGGCCCCGUUCCUUUUUAUCUGUCUGAACAUCACGCCGAACUUUUAACAGUUGAUUCCACUGCAUUUUCAAUGUGGUAUUUUUUUUUUCUGUAAAUGUUCAUCUAUUUUUCGCUUCAAAUAUGCGUUUCUGUUACUUUUCUAAUGUACCGUAGGAGCCAAGACCACCUAUACUACGUUGCAAAAUAGCACUGAUACCAGGGGUUCUCCCAAGGUUCAUUCAGAAAUGUCACAUGAUUCCAGUAACAAUACGAAAAGGUUUUUUUUUUGGAACCAGGCAUAUUGAUCCUGGAGUUCACAUGGAGGAACAAAUGUCUCAUAACGCAGACGACGCGGACAAACAAAAGCGCAAUGCCCGACAGAUGCGAAAACAGCCUCUGUCAUUAAAACUGUGUGCUAGUGACACAUGAACAGGAAACAAAUGGAAUAUCCAGACAUCAACCCAGUAACAUGGAAAUUUGGUUCAUAAACAUAAUUUCAGAGCGGUGGAACAAACAUGCAGUUUAUAAUGAAAGGUGCUAAGACAAAUGGUUAGCCGUCUGAGAAAUGAUGAAAUUAAUUCUGGAUCUCACAGGGAUAAACUCCAAACGGAUCAGGAGUCUAAAUGUGAAAAACAAAACAAAACCACAUGUGAAGUGUUCACGUGAUUUCGUGGCUGAUUAAGAAACAAGAUGUGCCCAGGAGGUGGCGGUGGCGCACAAGCUUUGACAGGUUGGAGGGUGAGGGAGUCUCACGCACCAUGAGAUUACCCACAGGCUUCGAAUUGGGGGUCACUACUCAGAAAAGAGAAAAAAAUGAGCGUGGGCGGGGGGCGCGCAGAGAACUCCCAGAGAAGAAGGAGAUCAGACAGGGGGAGGGCUGACGUGACUAGAUCACGUUUCUCAGCAGCCUGACAGGUGUCUGAGUCACAAAGCUCUGAAGGGCAGCAACGGCUUGCAGUCUUUAGAGCCCCAGGAUUUAUCUUAUCUAUGGCUAGCAGAGAUUGGACACAAUUUCACGAAGUAUACAAAGCAACCACAUGCUAAAUGGUUCAACACUAUGAGUGUUUGGGAUGUGUUUUAUUUAUUAUUUAUUAAUUUUGAUACGGAGUCUCCCUCUGUCGUCCAGGCUGGAGUGCAGUGGCACGAUCUUGGCUCACUGCAACCUCCGCCUCCCAGGUUCCAGCUAUUCUCCUGCCUCAGCCUCCCAAGUAGCUGGGAUUACAGGUGCCCACCUUGUAAUUUUUAGUAGAGACGGAGUUUCACCAUGUUGGCCAGGCUGGUCUCAAACUUCUCACUUCAGGUGAUCCACCCGCCUCGGCCUCCCAAAGUGGUGGGAUUACAGACGUGAGCCACUGCAGCCACCGUGCCUGCCCUUGGGAUAUGUUUUUUUUUCUUUUAAUUUUGUUUUGUUUUGUUUUUUUGAGACGAAGUCUUGCUCUGUCGACCAGGCUGGAGUGCAGGGGCACAAUCUUGGCUCACCGCAACCUCCGCCUCCCAGGUUCAAGCGAUUCUCCUGCCUCAGCCUCCAGAGUAGCUGGGAUUACAGGCACGUGCCACCAAGCCCAGCUAAUUUUUGUAUUUUUAGUAGAGAUGGGGUUUCACCAUGUUAGCCAGGAUGGUAUCUAUCUCUUGACCUCGUGAUCCUCCUGCCUCAGCCUCCCAGACUGCUGAGAUUACAGGCGUGAGCCACCGCACGGAUAUGUUUUAAGUAACUGAAUGUAUUAAAAUUUGACUUUGGCACCAGCAGGCUAUUGUGAAUAAUGUUGCUUUGAGCAUCGUGUGCAAAAAUAUCCUGGACCCUUGUUCUCAGCACUUUUGGAUAUAUAUGCAAAAGUGGAAUGGCUGGGUCACAUGAUAAUUCUGUCUGAUGUUUUGAGAAACCACUGUCCUGUUUUCCAGAGCUGCUGCACCAUUUUGUAUUCCCAUGAGCAGGUGCACAAGGUUCCAACUUUACCACAUCCAGCCAACAGUUACCUCCUAUUUAAUGGCUAAGAGCCAUCACCACCGGGGUAAUGUGAUCUCACUGUGGCUUUUGUUUUCAUUUCCCUAAUGUUUAGUUAUGUUGAUCAUCUUUUCAUGUUCUUAUUGGCCAUCUGUUAUCUUCUUUAUUAUAAGUCCUUUUCUGAAUUAAAUUGGUUUUGUUGUUAUUCUUGAGUUAUAGGAGUUCUUAAUAAACUGAAUAUUAAUCCUUAAGCAAA
ensembl:lncRNA ZNF778-DT ZNF778 divergent transcript